rnacentral:rRNA from 1 species
UAGGGAAUAUUGCGCAAUGGGGGAAACCCUGACGCAGCAACGCCGCGUGAGUGAGGAAGGUCUUCGGAUUGUAAAACUCUUCUGUUAGGGAAAAAUGGACCAGUACCUAAUAGCACUGGUUUUGAUGGUACCUAAAGAAUAAGCACCGGCUAACUUCGUGCCAGCAGCCGCGGUAAUACGAAGGGUGCAAGCGUUGUUCGGAAUCAUUGGGCGUAAAGCGCGCGCAGGCGGAUCAGUAAGUCAGGUGUGAAAUCUCGAAGCUCAACUUCGAAACUGCGCCUGAAACUACUAGUCUAGAAUGUCGGAGGGGGCAGGGGAAUUUCACGUGUAGGGGUAAAAUCCGUAGAGAUGUGAAGGAACACCGGAGGCGAAGGCGCCUGCCUGGACGACUAUUGACGCUGAGGCGCGAAAGCGUGGGGAGCAAA